UAGCGGCGAACGGGUGAGUAACACGUAAAGAACCUGCCUCAUAGACUGGGACAACUAUUGGAAACGAUAGCUAAUACCGGAUAACAGCAUUAACUGCAUGGUUGAUGUUUAAAAGUUGGUUUUGCUAACACUAUGAGAUGGCUUUGCGGUGCAUUAGCUAGUUGGUGGGGUAAAGGCCUACCAAGGCGACGAUGCAUAGCCGACCUGAGAGGGUGAUCGGCCACACUGGGACUGAGACACGGCCCAG
rnacentral:rRNA from 1 species